CUACGGGCCGCAGCAGUUAAGAAUCUUUUGCAAUGCGCGCAAGCGUGACAAAGCGAGCCAGAGUGUUUUUCCAUAACGGAAAAACUUUUAUGAUAUGUAAAAAGUAUCACGAAUAAGGACCGGGCAAGACUGGUGCCAGCCGCCGCGGUAAUACCAGCGGUCCGAGUCGUAGCCGCGUUUAUUGGGUCUGAAACAUCCGUAGCUUGUUGGGUAAGUCUAUUGUGAAAUCUGGCAUCUUAAGUGUCGGGCGCGCAAAAGAUACUGCCUUGCUUGAGACCGGGAGACGUAAGAAGUACGAACAGAGUAGCGGUAAAAUGCGUUGAUCCUGUUUGGACUAACGAUAGCGAAGGCAUCUUACGAGAACGGAUCUGACAGUGAGGGAUGAAGGCUAGGGGCGCAAAACGGAUUAGAUACCCGAGUAGUC
rnacentral:rRNA from 1 species